UUAAGAAGCAGUGGCUCAUCGCUUCUCGGCCUUUUGGCUAAGAUCAAGUGAAGAAGCAGUGGCUCAGCGCGUGUUGUCCUUGUGGGGAUGCCGUGUCUGACAGACAGCACAGGCACGGUGG
rnacentral:miRNA from 14 species